rnacentral:rRNA from 1 species
GUUAAGCGACUAAGCGUACACGGUGGAUGCCCUGGCAGUCAGAGGCGAUGAAGGGCGUGCUAAUCUGCGAUAAGCGCCGGUAAGGUGAUAUGAACCGUUAUAACCGGCGAUACCCGAAUGGGGAAACCCAGUGUGACUCGUCACACUAUCAUUAACUGAAUCCAUAGGUUAAUGAGGCGAACCGGGGGAACUGAAACAUCUAAGUACCCCGAGGAAAAGAAAUCAACCGAGAUUCCCCCAGUAGCGGCGAGCGAACGGGGAGGAGCCCAGAGCCUGAAUCAGCAUGUGUGUUAGUGGAAGCGUCUGGAAAGGCGCGCGAUACAGGGUGACAGCCCCGUACACAAAAGCGCAUGUGCUGUGAGCUCGAUGAGUAGGGCGGGACACGUGGUAUCCUGUCUGAAUAUGGGGGGACCAUCCUCCAAGGCUAAAUACUCCUGACUGACCGAUAGUGAACCAGUACCGUGAGGGAAAGGCGAAAAGAACCCCGGCGAGGGGAGUGAAAAAGAACCUGAAACCGUGUACGUACAAGCAGUGGG